rnacentral:lncRNA from 1 species
GAUUUAGCUUUUCUUAGGAUUUUGAUAAUGUCUUGGCCGGAUGAAGAAUCGGAGGAGGGUGAUUGAGGUAAUGAAGGGACUAAUGGUUUUGCUGGUGCUGUUGCUGGAGCUGGUGUGGCAGGAGCAGGUUUUGCUGGAGGUUUAGGUGCUGCUGCAGGUGAUUGAGCUGAAGUAGUGAUGAAAAAGAUAUGAGCAGAUAGUACUAAGAGGGAAAAGAAGAUGAUUUGCUUCAUCUUCUUACUAGAUAGGAAUUCUGUUUAAAGAAAUUUGUAAAUGAGGUAAGAUUUUGUUUGCUUGCU